rnacentral:rRNA from 1 species
ACUUUAAGUCUCCUGAAGGAACGUUGAAGACGACGACGUUGAUAGGCCGGGUGUGUAAGCGCAGCGAUGCGUUGAGCUAACCGGUACUAAUGAACCGUGAGGCUUAACCUUACAACGCCGAAGRUGUU